rnacentral:rRNA from 1 species
UACGUAGGUGGCAAGCGUUGUCCGGAAUUAUUGGGCGUAAAGCGCGCGUAGGCGGUUAUCUAAGUCGGAUGUGAAAGCCCUCGGCUUAACUGAGGAAGUGCACCCGAAACUGGAUAGCUAGAGUACGAAAGAGGGUCGCGGAAUUCCCGGUGUAGAGGUGAAAUUCGUAGAUAUCGGGAGGAACACCGGUGGCGAAGGCGGCGACCUGGGGUCGAGACUGACGCUGAGGCGCGAAAGCGUGGGGAGCAAACAGG